rnacentral:rRNA from 1 species
AGAAUCAACGCUGGCGGCGUGCCUAACACAUGCAAGUCGAACGAGAAAGUGGAGCAAUCCAUGAGUAAAGUGGCGCACGGGUGAGUAACACGUGACUAACCUACCCUUGAGUGGGGAAUAACUGAGGGAAACCUUCGCUAAUACCGCAUAACACCUACGGGUCAAAGGAGCAAUUCGCUUAAGGAGGGGGUCGCGGCAGAUUAGCUAGUUGGCGGGGUAAUGGCCCACCAAGGCAGUGAUCUGUA